UAUAUUUUUUAAAUUAUUGGGUUUUAUUCUAGCUCCGAGUGAAUGCUUGUAACAUAUUUAACACAUGCAAAUUGAACGAAAAAUUUAUUUUUUAAAUUUUUAGUAGUGACCUGGUGCGUAAAGUAUGAGUAUUGAAGUAUAAAUUAGGCAUUAAAUACCUAAUUAAAAGAUUUAUAUCGUUUAUACUAAAGCUUAUAUGGGAUUAGGUAGUUGUUAUGGUAAUUAUUUAACAAGCCUAUGAUGCUUAGCUGAUUUGAGGGAAUGAUCAGCCACAUUGGAACUGAAAACGGUCCAAGUCUUUUUAAAGGGCAGCAGUGGAGAAUAUUUGACAAUGAGCGAAAGCUUGAUCGAGUAAUGUUACGUGAGUGAUUAGAAGGCUUAAUUGCUGUAAAACUCUUUCGUCAAGGAUUAUAAUGUAAAUUGUACUUGAAAGAGAAGCCCUGACUAACUUCGUGCCAGCAGUCGCGGUAAUACGGAGAGGGCUAGUGUUAUUCGUAUUGACUGGGUGUAAAGGGUAAGUAGGUGGUUUAUUAAGUUUUAAAUAAAAUACUAAAAUAAAAUUUAGAGAUAUUUAAAAUACUAUUAAACUAGAGUUGAAUUGGAGAUAACUGUACAUUAAGUGUAAAAGUGAAAUUUGUUAAUAUUUAAAGGACAGUCAAUAAGCGAAAGCUGUUAUCUAAAUUAAUACUGACACUGAGUUACAAAAGCAUAGGGAUCAAACGGGAUUAGAGACCCCGGUAGUCUAUGCCCUGACCGAUGAAUGUUAAUUAAAUUAAUUUGAUUUAAUUAAGCUAACGCGUAAACAUUCCACCUGAGUACUACGACCGCAAGGUUAAAACUCAAAGAAACUGACGGAAGAUUGUAUAAGCGGUGGAGUAUGUGGUUUAAUUUGAUAUAACGCAAAAAAUCUUACCAAUUUUUGAAUGCAAAUAAUUAAUUAUAUAAAUUUUUAUAUAAUAUUUAAUAUAAACUUUAUUUUUUUAUUAAAUUAAUUUUUAUAAAUUUGCACAGGUGCUGCAUGGUUGUCGUCAGUUCGUGUUGUGAAAUGUUAUGUUAAUUCAUUUAACGGACGUAACCCUUAGUUUUAAUUUAAAAAAAAAUCAAUUUUUUAUUAAAACUAAUAUUAAUAUAAAAUUAAUUGAAAGAGGAAGAAGUCAAAUCAUUAUGGCCUAUAUAGAUUGGGCUACACACGUACUACAAUGGUAAUUACAAUAGGAAACAAUAAUGUGAAUUGGAGUAAAACAUUAAAAAUUAACCUUAGUUCGGAUUAUUCUCUGUAAGUCGAGAGUAUGAAGGCGGAAUCGCUAGUAAUCGCAAAUUAGAAUGUUGCGGUGAAUAUAUUCUCAAUCUUUGUACACACCGCCCGUCACGCCAUGGGAAUUGGUUUGAUUUGAAAUAAUAUAGGUAUUAAUUUAAUAUAAUAUAAAUUGAUUUUUAUUAUAUGUUACUAUACUAAUUAUGACAAUUAAAUUAAGGACUGGGGCGAAGUCGUAACAAGGUAGUGGUAGGGGAACC
rnacentral:rRNA from 1 species